rnacentral:rRNA from 1 species
UGGGGAAUCUUGCACAAUGGGGGAAACCCUGAUGCAGCGACGCCGCGUGAGCGAUGAAGCCCUUCGGGGUGUAAAGCUCUUUCGGCAGGGAAGAUGAUGACGGUACCUGCAGAAGCAGCUGCGGCUAACUACGUGCCAGCAGCCGCGGUAAUACGUAGGCAGCAAGCGUUGUUCGGAGUUACUGGGCGUAAAGGGUGUGUAGGCGGUUGUUUAAGUUUGGUGUGAAAUCUCCCGGCUCAACUGGGAGGGUGCGCCGAAUACUGAAUGACUUGGAGUGCGGGAGGGGUGAGUGGAAUUCCUGGUGUAGCGGUGAAAUGCGUAGAUAUCAGGAGGAACACCGGUGGUGUAGACGGCUCACUGGACCGUAACUGACGCUGAGACACGAAAGCGUGGGUAGCAAACAGG